rnacentral:rRNA from 1 species
AUUGAACGCUGGCGGCAGGCUUAACACAUGCAAGUCGAGCGGGCGAGGUUGCUUCGGUAACUGAGCUAGCGGCGGACGGGUGAGUAAUGCUUAGGAAUCUGCCUAUUAGUGGGGGACAACAUUCCGAAAGGGAUGCUAAUACCGCAUACGUCCUACGGGAGAAAGCAGGGGCUCUUUAUGACCUUGCGCUAAUAGAUGAGCCUAAGUCGGAUUAGCUAGUUGGUGGGGUAAAGGCCUACCAAGGCGACGAUCUGUAGCGGGUCUGAGAGGAUGAUCCGCCACACUGGGACUGAGACACGGCCCAGACUCCUACGGGAGGCAGCAGUGGGGAAUAUUGGACAAUGGGGGGUACCCUGAUCCAGCCAUGCCGCGUGUGUGAAGAAGGCCUUUUGGUUGUAAAGCACUUUAAGUGGGGAGGAGGCUUACCUGGUUAAUACCUGGGCUAAGUGGACGUUACCCACAGAAUAAGCACCGGCUAAACUCUGUGCCAGCAGCCGCGGUAAU